CGGAAAAGUCUCCGAAUUGGGCCGAGAUUUUGCCUACCCCCCCAUUGUCAGACGUCCCGAGCGCGUCCCCGAAGUCGGAAUCGGCAAAGGCCACAGGAGGAUAUUUUGUUCUGGGUUAACCUGCUUUUCUACCUCGCAGGUUGUUUAUCAAUAUUGUGUAAUUUUAAUUACUCCUAGAAUUUCCGCAUGUGUUAGCAGUAUUUAUUUGAAAUUGGUCUGUAAUAUUUUUAUCAUGUUGGACCUGUAAACUUAAAUAUGUUAUGCAUGUUGAUGGAUUGGAUGAGGGAGCUGAGCUCCCAUUUAUUUUAUGUUGAUGAGUAUGUGGAGGGUGAGCUGAGCUCCCAAAUUGAG